AUACUUGCCCGUCAGGGGCAAAAACAAGAUCAAGGAGGUGGUUUGGACAAAGCAAGGCUCAGCCAUUGCAUUCGGGCUGUGCUGACCUUUGCGAGUUCCCCAGAUGCGGGAAUCUUGACUGCAUAGUUUCUGAUAGUGGGGACUACGUUCACGCUGUCCCCUU